rnacentral:rRNA from 1 species
UACGUAGGGGGCAAGCGUUGUCCGGAAUCAUUGGGCGUAAAGCGCGUGUAGGCGGCCAGAAAAGUCCGCUGUGAAAACUCGAGGCUCAACUUCGAGCUGUCGGUGGAAACUUUCUGGCUAGAGUCCGGAAGAGGAGAAUGGAAUUCCUGGUGUAGCGGUGAAAUGCGCAGAUAUCAGGAAGAACACCCGUGGCGAAGGCGGUUCUCUGGGACGGUACUGACGCUGAGACGCGAAAGCCGUGGGGAGCGAACAGG